rnacentral:rRNA from 1 species
AAGAAAUAACAACUCGGGGCCUCACGGCUUACGAGAUUGCAAUGAGAACAAUUUAAAUCUCUUAGCGAGGAACAAUUGGAGGGCAAGUCUGGUGCCAGCAGCCGCGGUAAUUCCAGCUCCAAUAGCGUAUAUUAAAGUUGUUGCAGUUAAAAAGCUCGUAGUUGAAUUUCUGAUUAUGGAUGUAGCGGUUUCCGUUACAUUUGUAGUCAUCCACAUGAGAACCUUUCUCGGCCUUCACUGGUCGGUUGGGGGAUCAUGUACUUUACUUUGAAAAAUCAGAGUGUUUCAGGCAGGCGUUUGCAUGAAUACACAAGCAUGGAAUAAUGGAAUAGGACUAGGGUCCAUUUUAUUGGUUAUUGGACCAUAGUAAUGAUUAAUAGGGACAGUUGGGGGCAUUAGGUAUUUUAAAUUGUACAGAGGUGAAAUUCCUUUGGAUUUUAUUAAAAGACUAACUUAUGCGAAAGCAUUUGCCAAGGAUGUUUCA